UUUACUUUUUUGCAGACCUCUCCACCAUUGCCCUCUCCCUCUCUUCCCCCUAUUCCAAUCGGGAGUCUUCUUCGAAUUUGCAAUCUUGCCUCCAGGAGUUCCUCCAUUCUAUCAAUGGAAAUAUGCAUGUAUCUCUUCAAGAUAAAUCAAAAUUUUCUUUGUUGGGUCAGUAUGGAGCUUGUAUUAACUCUGAGAAAAACCUGCACUCACGGUGUAGAUGGAGUUUGUGAAUGCUAUGGACAAUGGAGCUGUGGAUGCCUUAAAUUUGAUGGGUUUUUAGGCCAGUGUAGACGAAAGUAAUUACUGGAUUAAGCUGGCCUAUGAAUCUCUUCGUCUUCAAGCCAGGGGAAUUCAUUGGGUUCCUAAAUUGCAUCAUCUUCAUUGGAAGAAGGAAAUAGUGUCUCAAUGCGAUGUCCAUGUACGAAAUUCAGAUUGCUUCUAUUGUUUGGUUUAUCAUUUGAGUUGUAUUUGUCAAUGGUGAUUAAUCCAUGGCUCUUUGUCUGAACAAGUUUAGGUUAUAUUAUACGAAACUCCAACAUACGGUGCUCACCAUUUCUCAUUGCGAUACUGGAAUUCUUCUGAGCAUGGUAAAGCUUCUCCUAAGAAGCCUCAGUGGGUUGAUGAGCUUCAACAAAAGCAACCUUUAAAUGACAUGAUAAAAAUAGUACCUUCUUGUGGAGCUAGGACAGUUUCCAUAUAUAUUCUUAAUUUUAAAAUUUUGAAAGCAGGAUAUAGUUGUUUUGGCUAUCAACAUGGUGGAGAGGUCUGCGGACUUGUGAUUGGGGGGAUGGCGGGGAAGAGGGAUGGUAACAGAAAAUGGUUAGUGAAGACUGUUUUGUUAUUUUUUGAAAGUUGAAUGAUUAUUUUA